CGCCCUCCCCGCCAUUCCUGUAAUGGCUGCUUCCUGGAAGGCGGUGUCACGUGUAACGCUUUAGCCUCAGCGUCCGGAGCUCCAGAAGGGGAGUAUCUCAAGCCCAUAGAAUUUUUUACAUCUCACUUCUUUGGAACCUUCAAGUUCUCAAGAUUCCAACAUCAUGACGUCAGUUUCAGCACAGUUGCUGUUAGUCCUCCUGUCACUGCUUUUGGUUGUGCCUGUUGUGGAAGCAGUAGAGGCUGGAGAUGCAAUUGCUCUCUUGCUAGGGGUGGUUCUCAGCAUUACAGGCAUUUGUGCUUGCUUGGGGGUGUAUGCACGAAAAAGAAAUGGACAGAUGUGACUUUGAAGGGCUCUUCUGAAUCAAACUUCACUCUUAUACCUUGAAAACCAUUGUGCUUUUGAGCACGAAAGUUCUAUAAAGUUCCUGACAAACAGUAAAUAGGAAGGAUUCACUUCUUAGUUGUUUCCUAUGAAAUGAGAACAAAGAGAUAUGUUAAAUGGAAAAAAAAUGCCUCCUUUACAACAAAUCAGUGCACUGAAAAAUGCAGCCUAUAAUUUGUAUAUACUGCUUAGGAAGCAGACCAAAGAAGUAAGAUGACUUAAAUUUGCAUAAGUAAUAUUUCAUUGUUUCAGAAUUCUCAAAGCACGUGAAAUAAGAUUUUGCCCAGAAUCGAGCAAAUCACCACUAUUCAGUUUUAAUCACUGCCUCCUUGGUCAUUGAGGAGUCCUUUUUUCUGUGUUUUUAUUAGAUUUUUGUUUUAAUAUUGUACUUAGUUAAUAUUGUACUUGCAUAUCAAAUAGCCAAAAAUGGAAUCUUUUACUUCUGGGGGAAAAAGUUUAGAAAAAAUGUACUCAAUAUGUCAAGACUGAAAUGAAGAAAAGAUUUAAUGUUAAAAAAAAAAAAACUUUAUACUGACUAUGAAAGGGGAAAAAGGUUUAAUGUAAAAAAA